CAGAAUUUUAACAUAUGUUUGUGGAGUAUGAUAACAGCUCGUAUGUGUAGAUACAGUUGGACCGAGACUGAAAAACCUGAAGUCGGCGCCAACGAUCAGAUGGACAGCAGCAGAGUAAGGCUUUCUGAGUUUUCACACUCGUGAUCAAAGAGGAGAAGGAGAAGAA